UGUAAUGUGGCAACCAAAAGAAUCUUCACUGAACAUUUCAAAAACAGCAAAGAAAUCUUUACUAAACAUUUCUCUCUAGUACCACCUCAGAGCAGAUGGACAGGGAAAAACAGUUUAAAAAAAAAAGCAGGGGCACACCAGAGUCGCAGUUCCGAGGAGGGGGAGAGAAAGCGAGACUUCAACUCCCGCGAGACUUCUCGCCGCGCUAAAGGGCACGCCAGGAGGUGAAGCAGCAGAGCGCUGGGACGCAAGACACAGGACUCCAACUCCCAGAAGCCUCGGCGGCCCAGGCCGCGGGCAGUAAAAUGGCGCAGCGGCGGACCCUCACGGACACACCCAGCUUAAGGGCGGUGUCCAUGGUGUCCCGGAGGGGGGUCGGAGCCUUUCCGAAGCCGCCGUCGGCCCCGCAGCGCACUUGAGACACCCGGGCAGUGAGAGUUUGCGCGCGGCAAACUCAGAGCAUGGGCUCGUGGCGAUGUCGGCUUCGGGCCGCGUCCCCCGGCCACCCGAACAGGCAGCCGGGGCGGGCGCGAGCGAGCUGGGCGCGAUUCAGACUUCGCCUCGUAAACCAAGCGCCUCUCACAGAGCCCGCCGCGCGCCCGCCCCCCCGGGCCGCCGCCAGGUCUCGGGGGCCGGGGACUCGAGCGUGACGCUCCCCAGACUGGCGGACCGAGCCAGAGCGGCCAGGGCCACCCCGCCGCGCGCCCAGGCGCGUUCCACUGGAACUGCUCCCCGCCCCUACCUUCCGAGAUCUCGACAGCUGCAAAGGAGGAGCUCAGGACCUCGCUGUUGCUGGGAAUGGCUGCUGUUCUCAUCAGGGGAAUCUCUGAUCUUCACAGUGAGCAUCACUUCCUGCCUCCAAUGUGGAUCCCUCAGCCUGGUGACACAAAUCCUUCAUCUCACCAGCGUAGAUUUUCUGGCUUCCACCACUGGCCUUUGGGCCCUCCAGGUGCAGAUCCUCAAUACAGACAAGCAUGAGUCAUUGCCGUGGGCUCUAGGCCACUGGCUGGACUUGAGGAGGACAUUGCCUUGGAUUCUACACUUCAGCUGGACUUGUGUGGGAAACUGCUGGGAUCCAGGCCCUCAGUUGAAUCCUUUGGGCUUCUAGUGUGUGGUUACUCUCUUGCACUCCUUUACAUUUGGCUCUUUGAGUAAUUAUCAUAAAAUAAUCUUAUAAGUUAUGUGUCCUGUAUUUAAUGUAUUCGCUUACUGAAUCCUCUGACUACAACAGAUACUUACAAAAAAAAAAAUCCACGCUGCCUACCUCCUUGUGUUAUCACUAUGUGAACAGCUAGGAAAGACAAUACGUAGGGCUGGGGAUUUAGCUCAGUGGUUCUGCUGCCUGCCUUGCAAGUGCAAGGACCCAAGUUCAAUCCCUGGUACCAAAAAAAAAAAAAAAAAAAAGAAGAAGAAAGACUAUACUUUGAAAUUUUCUUUAACACACACAAACCAAAUAACAGAAGACUCACAUCGGGAAAUAGAAACUCCCUGGGGGCUUGAGAAGGACAUGUAGGGAGACUUGGGUGGGCUAGCACGGAGGAAAAUGAUCAAGAAGAGAAGAAAGGAGAAUUUAAAGAAAAUAAAUCUGAAGACAAUCUUUUUUAUUUCAUGAUUUUAAAGAAAUCUAAAGGGCUUGGAUUUUUUUCUUUUUUGAGAAAGUAGUAUAAAGAUCUAGAAAAUCUUUAGACCUAGAAGCCAAUUUUGUCAGGCUUCUGUACAUUCUGUCAUUGUAGCAGUUCUUCAUAACAAAUAGCUUUACUUGAAAUUAUAGCCAUCAUUUAUUUGUCUUUCUGUUUAUUUUCUCGCUCCUCCAAAUAAAAUGUAAGUUCCAUGAAGUCAAGAACU
rnacentral:lncRNA from 1 species